GCCCGGCUAGCUCAAUCGGUAGAGCGUGAGACUCUUAAGUCAUCUCAAGGUUGUGGGUUCGACCCCCACGUCGGGCU
rnacentral:tRNA from 1 species